GUUCUUACAGCGCCGCAUGCAGUCAAACAAGCCUAGUAUCAGAUAAGCUACGUUAUGUCACCUUCACGUGCUAUCGUAAAUGUAAAAAAUUCCACUUCUGUUAUUAUUACGAGCUUAUCGUGUUUUCUUGUCAGGAUCUUUGUUGACGCAAAACAUGUAGUUCAUACUUGAGUGUGUCUUGGGAAAAUGUUAUUUAAACACAAUAUACUUAACAACAAGACAACGCAAUGAACUGAAGUCUGAGGCCCGUCCAUCUCGGGAAUUGGGGUAUAAAAAUUAUUUCCGAAAUUCCCAGAGGUAAACAACACCACAUCAGAGAUUUUUACCUGGGAAACUUCUGACAGCACAUUAAGGCAACCAAUUCAGCCUUCAAGGGACAUGUUUGAUUCAAACUAGCACACUUGGAUGACCCCGGUCUCAUUCAUGCCAUUCAAGAACGUGACAUGACUUCCAAGACUGCUCCAGUCGAGGGCUUGUUUAUAGGAAUGAGUCACUGGACAUCAAAACUACAGGCUGUGUAAUCCUGCCAGCUUCCCUUUCCAAUACGGAGCGGAUGCGACCAGGUCCGGUUUCUCCAGUCUGUGUGUCAGAGCCCGGCUGUUGCCGAAUCUGCGCUGGAGCUCAGCGUGGGCUGUGCUGGAGGUGGGCGUGGGUUACAAACCCUGCGUGUGUAGAAGUGGAAGUAUGGAUGUGAGUGGGCGUUGUUCCCAGUGAAAUACAUUGGCUUUUUUAUAUUAUGGUAAGACAAUGCAUUGUGUGUGUCCAGCAUUUUUUUUGCAUUUGCAGAUGCUUGUAACCAAAGUGACUACUGUGCAUUCAAACAAUGCAGGGUUUUUUGGGAAUCGAACCCGGACACUCAACCAAUUGAGCUACAGGAACAAUCCGAGCAAUAUAUGUAAUCCCGUGCACAACUGCGCUUUGAACUCCUACCUACAUCCGAGUAUAAUUUCAGUGUUUAUUUGUAUAUAGACAAGUAAUGCAUUUCACUUUGUGAAUCAGUCUGUGUGGAUCUGCGCCUUUGUUUAUGUUGUAUGACUGAUGUGUGUUUGUACGCUUCUGUUUGAGGGCGUGUCACACCACCACUGACUCACGCCGGUGGUCCUGACUCAUCCCAACAUCACCAGCACCGUAGGCUCGCGUGCCGGACCGCAUAAUCCAACCACACUCGCACAGUCAUCGAGGAGCGAUUUCCCCUUACUUCUCUCCCUCGCUGUUGCUCCGUGUGACUCAUCUUGGUUUCAUUUUGCCACCCUCCUCCACCCAGCAUUCAACUCUCCUCCUUCGCUCCUCUAUCUCUCUUUCUUUUCUCCUUUCUCAUUCCUAUUCUCCCUCUCUUUCCCUUUCCUUCCUGGCUCUGUAAAUGACCUCAUUUUAAUGAAGCCCAGACUUGGCUGGGACACCAAACCGCAUGGCUGGAAGCUCCCUUUCUUUCUCUCUCGUUGGUGCUCUAAUCUACCCUGUACUUCGUAUCUGGCUUUCAUUCCCAGAGCUAACAGAACCGAUCGGGAAGUCUGGGAAUUCUAGAGUAACUCCAAGAAUUCCACAAUAAAUGUUUGAUUGCGUUCCAUAACUUAUGGUAACAAUACCACAUGUAAUAAAACUCCAGCUGCAAGAUGAAGCUCACAUUUGCAUAGGAUAGGCAACGCAACGUGAUCCAAAACAUAAAACAUGCCGAUAAUCUGGGAAUCAAAACUGUACUUUAAAUAAUAUUUUAAAAUGUUUUUCCUUAUGCAAAUUUGCUUUUUAAACUUGCACAUAAAUGGUUCUUGUAAACACGUUUUUCUCAAAAAGUUUUUUUUACUUCCCAAGAAGUGCACACGAGACGGGAGCAAUGUAAAACAUUUGAGAAUGGGAUUACAUGAAUCAUCAGGCUUUGUACAAACUUGAAAGUCCAUGCUGGCUUACGGGCAUGCCGACGAACAUACCACAUAAAUUGUAAAAUAAUUCAAACUUUUUGAAAUGUUAUUUUGAUAAUACACUUAUUUAAUACAAAAAUGAAUCAUUGUCAGUACCCGUGCAUACGAUUUUGGCCUAGACUUUAUGUGCGGUGCAAAAAUCUAUUGGCUCCUGUUUUCACUUAGGCCACCUAUGUGCUAGACACCGCAUAUUUGCAGUGAAAAUAGCUGUAUUUUUGCACAGACAUACUUGAAGCCUCUACGCCCCUAGGUCAUUGCAAAAACAUCCCUUCAAUAAGGCGUGAACAUUUUGUUAUGGUCUCUGACCUCAGCCUUUAUGAGACCGUGAACGCUACCACAUGCUUGCACAACUGUCCUAUGCGGCUACACCACAAACGUUGAAGAUUUGAUGAUGUAUUCUAGAUAAAGCCAGUCGGUUGUUACAUUUGAGUGAAUCUUUAUCUGAGCAAGAGCAAUGAUUUCCUCUUUGACAUUAACUAGGAGAUCUUCUAUUAAAGUUUAAGCUUUGUGUUAAAUAGGCUCAUUAAGUAAACGUAAAAGUUUAGAUUACAUUUUAACUAUUACAGUUUACCAGCUCAAAUCAAACAAAUAUAACACACAUUGUUAAGGACACAAAUAUGCACAAUAUGCAUGUGAUCCAAACCUCUGACUCGGAUUAAAUUCUGUGCAUUUUUCAGUUUCACUUCUAAUGCUGGUGCAAUGCUGAUAGCAAGUGGACAAUUUGUGUCAU